rnacentral:rRNA from 1 species
AUUGAACGCUGGCGGCAUGCCUUACACAUGCAAGUCGAACGGUAACAGGUUAAGCUGACGAGUGGCGAACGGGUGAGUAAUGUAUCGGAACGUGCCCAGUCGUGGGGGAUAACUGCUCGAAAGAGCAGCUAAUACCGCAUACGACCUGAGGGUGAAAGCGGGGGAUCGCAAGACCUCGCGCGAUUGGAGCGGCCGAUAUCAGAUUAGGUAGUUGGUGGGGUAAAGGCCUACCAAGCCUACGAUCUGUAGCUGGUCUGAGAGGACGACCAGCCACACGGGGAAUGAGACACGGCACGGACUCCUACGGGAGGCAGCAGUGGGGAAUUUUGGACAAUGGACGCAAGUCUGAUUCAGCCAUGCCGCGUGCGGGAAGAAGGCCUUCGGGUUGUAAACCGCUUUGGUCAGGGAAGAAAAGGUUCUGGUUAAUACCUGGGACUCAUGACGGUACCUGAAGAAUAAGCACCGGCUAACUACGUGCCAGCAGCCGCCGUAAGAC